AGUAAUACCGUGCAAAUGCACGGUACAAAUUAGUCGGGCUUCGGUUGGAAAGAGCAGUCUUCCUUACCAUCUCUUCCUCUACAGGCGCUCUCCAGUGCUCUCCAGGUGCUUUUUCUUCCUCUCCAGGCACUCUCUUUUCCUCUCAUCCCAGAUUUCUGAAUCAGUUGAUAAGUUGGGUGAAGUUUUACAAGUUGCUUUUGGGAAAGGAGUGGAUCCAAAACCUGAGAUUGUUUCAGAAUUGUCAAAGAUGGAUUUGUCUAUUGAGGAUCAAAUCAAGGUACUAAAUAUCCCUUUCGAAAAGCCACAGAAUGAGAGGACAUUCUCGUCUUUGGAUGGUGCAAUGAAAAAAGCCUUUGUACUCAUGUUACUUGGACAAAGUAACCCCAAUUGACAUUUCAAACCAACAACAAUAUAUUUUGUUAAAAGUUGUAGCAUGCAUAUAUUUUGUUAAAAGUAGCAUGCAUAUAUUUUGGCUAUCUGGACAAACUGUUUCUUACUGAAACCACCUUGCAUUUGUAUAUUUUAUGAACUUGGAUAUGUGGUUGGAUUAUAUAUCGUAACGAUUGUAGUUGUUUUUUGUGAACCUUUUUUUUAUGUUAUUAGAAAAUAUUUUGAAUUUGAUGUAUGAAAUUUACUAUUUUUCUUUGUUA